rnacentral:rRNA from 1 species
CCUACGGGGGGCAGCAGUGGGGAAUAUUGGACAAUGGGGGGAACCCUGAUCCAGCCAUGCCGCGUGUGUGAAGAAGGCCCUCGGGUUGUAAAGCACUUUCAGUGAGGAAGAACGCCUGGUGGUUAAUACCCAUCAGGAAAGACAUCACUCACAGAAGAAGCACCGGCUAACUCCGUGCCAGCAGCCGCGGUAAUACGGAGGGUGCGAGCGUUAAUCGGAAUUACUGGGCGUAAAGCGCGCGUAGGUGGCUUGAUAAGCCGGUUGUGAAAGCCCCGGGCUCAACCUGGGAACGGCAUCCGGAACUGUCAAGCUAGAGUGCAGGAGAGGAAGGUAGAAUUCCCGGUGUAGCGGUGAAAUGCGUAGAGAUCGGGAGGAAUACCAGUGGCGAAGGCGGCCUUCUGGACUGACACUGACACUGAGGUGCGAAAGCGUGGGUAGCAAACAGGAUUAGUACCCUGGUAGUC